UACGGAGGAUGCGAGCGUUAUCCGGAUUUAUUGGGUGUAAAGGGUGCGUAGAUGGGAAGACAAGUUAGUUGUGAAAUCCCUCGGCUCAACUGAGGAACUGCAACUAAAACUACAUUUCUUGAGUGCAGGAGAGGUAAGUGGAAUUCCUAGUGUAGCGGUGAAAUGCGUAGAUAUUAGGAGGAACACCAGUGGCGAAGGCGACUUACUGGACUGUAACUGACGUUGAGGCACGAAAGUGUGGGGAGCAAACAGG
rnacentral:rRNA from 1 species